GGAUAUGUGGGCCAUCUGGCUGAGACAUCUGUCAUCCCACUGAUUGCCAGGGUUGAUUCAGUUGAAAUGCCUGGCUAAACAGGUGAUUCCUCACUCCCUCACUGCUCUGUGUGUGUCCCUCCCAAAGCUGCAUGUUAGGUUCAAGAGAAGGACCUUUCCCAAGUAAAGGAGGACAAUUCUUCAGUCAAGGGUAUAUGAGUGCUGUCUGUACUCCCCACCUAGAACCUCCAAACAAGUUCUGAAGAAGUGUGUGUGUGUGUGUGUGUGUGUGUGUCUGUGUG
rnacentral:snRNA from 1 species